rnacentral:rRNA from 1 species
CCUCGGCGGAUCAGCCCGCUCCCGGUAAAACGGGACGGCCCGCCAGAGGACCCCUAAACUCUGUUUCUAUAUGUAACUUCUGAGUAAAACCAUAAAUAAAUCAAAACUUUCAACAACGGAUCUCUUGGUUCUGGCAUCGAUGAAGAACGCAGCAAAAUGCGAUAAGUAAUGUGAAUUGCAGAAUUCAGUGAAUCAUCGAAUCUUUGAACGCACAUUGCGCCCGCCAGUAUUCUGGCGGGCAUGCCUGUUCGAGCGUCAUUUCAACCCUCAAGCACAGCUUGGUGUUGGGACUCGCGUUAAUUCGCGUUCCUCAAAUUGAUUGGCGGUCACGUCGAGCUUCCAUAGCGUAGUAGUAAAACCCUCGUUACUGGUAAUCGUCGCGGCCACGCCGUUAAACCCCAACUUCUGAAUGUUGACCUCGGAUCAGGUAGGAAUACCCGCUGAACUUAAGCAUAUCAAUAAGCGGAGG